AUGCACCUCUUCUCCGGCGGAGGCGGCCGCACCGGCGCCCUCCUCCCGACCACCUCCAAGCCGAAGGCGCACCACCACCGCGCCAAGGUAGCCCCCGCCUCCACCCGCCGCCGCGGCCCCCACCCUGCCUCCGCCUCCUCCUCCUCUUCCUCCCGCCGCGUCCUCCAGCUCGCCGCCGCCUUCUUCUUCUUCCUCUUCCUGUUCGCCUUCCUCCGCCUAGGCUUCCCCUCCUCCCGGUCCGCCGCGUCGUCCCCCGCCCGCCCCCGCGCUCGCCUCACCCGCAGGCCGGCCUUCCGCCGCGACUCCGUGGCGGCCGAGGCCGCCGCGGCCGCCGUCGCCGCCAGGGCCGGCCGCGAGGCGCCCGUCGACAUCACCACCAGGGACCUCUACGACCGGAUCCAGUUCGAGGACGUGGACGGCGGCGCGUGGAAGCAGGGCUGGGAGGUCACCUACAAGGGCGACGAGUGGGACGCCGAGAAGCUCAAGGUCUUCGUCGCGCCCCACUCCCACAACGACCCCGGCUGGAUCCACACCGUCGAGGAGUACUACGACCGCCAGUCGCGCCACAUCCUCGACACCAUCAUCGAAUCCCUCUCCAAGGAUCCCCGCAGGAAAUUCAUAUGGGAGGAGAUGUCGUACCUGGAGAGGUGGUGGCGUGACGCCCCGCGGAAGAAGCAGGAGGAGUUUGCCAAGCUCGUGCACAACGGGCAGCUCGAGAUUGUCAGUGGCGGCUGGGUCAUGAACGAUGAGGCAAACUCCCACUAUUUUGCCAUCAUAGAGCAGAUGAUGGAGGGGAACAUGUGGCUCAAUGAUACCAUUGGAGUUAUUCCCAAGAAUUCUUGGUCCAUUGACCCAUUUGGCUAUUCAUCUACCAUGGCUUAUCUACUGAGGAGAAUGGGUUUCCAUAACAUGUUGAUCCAGCGAACACACUAUGAGCUGAAAAAGGAGCUUGCGAGGAAACAGAAUCUUGAAUAUUUGUGGAGGCAGAACUGGGAUAUCGAAGAAACGACUGACAUAUUUGUUCAUAUGAUGCCCUUCUAUUCUUAUGACAUACCACACACCUGUGGACCAGAACCAGCUAUCUGCUGUCAGUUUGACUUUGCUCGAAUGCGUGGUUUCAGCUAUGAGUCUUGCCCAUGGAGAUAUGAUCCAGUUGAAACAGAUUCAAACAAUGUGCAAGAGAGAGCAACGAAACUUCUAGAUCAAUACAGGAAAAAGUCAACCCUGUACAGAACAAAUACACUUCUCAUUCCUUUGGGAGAUGAUUUCCGGUAUGUUAAUACCGAGGAAGCAGAAGCACAAUUUCGCAAUUAUGAGAAGCUUUUUGAUUACAUCAAUUCUAAUCCCCAUCUGAAUGCUGAAGUCAAAUUUGGAACCCUGGAGGAUUACUUCUCUACACUGAGAGAUGAAGCUGAAAAGAUAAACUAUACACGCCCUGGUGAAGUUGGUUCUGUUGAGCUGCAAGGUUUUCCAACACUUUCAGGGGACUUCUUUACAUAUGCUGAUAGAAAUCAGGAUUACUGGAGUGGUUACUAUGUAUCAAGGCCAUUCUUCAAAGCAGUUGACCGCGUUCUAGAGCAGACACUCCGUGCCUCAGAGAUUCUGAGUUCAUUUGUUCUUGGAUACUGUCAGAAAUUUCAGUGUGCAAAACUUCCCAUCAGUUUCUCUCACAAACUAACAGCAGCAAGGAGGAAUUUGGCACUUUUUCAGCAUCAUGAUGGGGUAACUGGCACAGCUAAGGAUCAUGUCGUAGUGGACUAUGGGACUCGAAUGCACACUUCUUUGCAAGAUUUGCAGCUAUUUAUGUCAAGGGCAGUCGAAGUGCUUUUGGGAGAUGUCUAUGAUAGAUCUGAUCCUACAAUUUUAUCACAUUUUGAGCCGUUGCAGGAACGAUCAAAGUAUGAUGUUCAACCUGUGCAUAGGGUUCUCAACCCUCAUGAAGGGAAGACACAUUCUGUUGUCUUUUUUAACCCAUUAGAGCAAACAAGGGAUGAGAUUGUUAUGAUUGUGGUAAGCAAUCCUGAUGUAUCUGUUCUCAAUUCAACUGGGUCCUGUUUGAAAUGUCAAAUUUCCCCUGAGUGGCAGUAUGUCAGUGGUGAGAAGAUUUCUACUGGCCGGCACCGUCUGUAUUGGAGAGCUUCUGUUCCUGCACUGGGUUUGGAGACUUACUAUGUGGCCGUGGGCCAGGACUGUGAAAAGGCUACUCCUGCUGUGGUAAAAGCAUUCACCGCUUCCCAAGAAUUUUCUUGCCCUGAACCAUAUCAUUGUUCAAAUCUUGAAGGUAAAACUGUGGAGAUGAAGAAUUCUUAUCAUACUCUUUCUUUUGAUGUAAGUCAUGGCCUCCUCCAGACAGUCACUCGUCACAAACAUGGGGAGAAAACUGAGAUAGGCGAAGAAAUUGCCAUGUACAGCAGUCGUGGAAGUGGGGCAUACUUGUUCAAACCUAUUGGGGAAGCACGGCCAAUUGUUAAGGAAGGAGGAUAUUUCGUCCUAACUGAAGGGCCAUUGGUUCAAGAAGCCCAUUCCCUUCCAAAGACGGAGUGGGAUAAGUCACCUCUCUCACAUAGCACACGCAUUUAUAGUUGCGGGGACACUAUACAGGAUAUGCUGGUUGAGAAGGAAUACCAUGUUGAACUUGUCGGUCGUGUAUUUGAUGACAGGGAGCUAAUUGUCAGAUACAAGACAGAUAUUGACAACCAGAGAGUGUUCUAUUCUGAUCUGAAUGGCUUUCAGAUGAGUCGGAGGCAGACAUAUGAUAAGAUCCCCUUGCAGGGCAAUUAUUACCCAAUGCCAUCACUUGCCUUCUUACAGGAUUCACUUGGCAACCGGUUUUCAGUACACUCCAAGCAAUCAUUAGGAGCAGCAAGCUUGAAAAAAGGAUGGAUGGAGAUUAUGUUGGAUCGUAGGCUGGUCCGGGAUGAUGGCCGUGGUUUGGGGCAGGGGGUAAUGGACAACCGGCCCAUGAAUGUAAUCUUCCAUCUCCUCAUGGAGUCUAAUGUGUCUGCUUUGCCUAAAUCUCACAAUUCAAUUACUCUUCAGCCAUCACUCCUUUCCCACCGUGUGGGGGCACACCUGAACUACCCAAUGCAUGCUUUUGUGAGCAAAGAACUUCAUGAAAAAUCCUUUAAGCUUCCUCAACAGACAUUUGCUCCAUUGGCUACAUCUUUGCCCUGUGAUAUACAUGUUGUCAACUUGAAGGUCCCUCAGCCUCUAAGGUUUGCUCAUACCGAAGCAGUUGAGCCAAGAUUUGCCAUUCUGUUGCAGAGAAGGGGCUGGGAUGCAUCAUACUGCAAAAGGGGUGGGUUACAAUGUACAAGUAUCGGGGAAGAGACUGUAAAUCUAUUUGACAUGUUCAAAGAUCUAUCUGUCUUAAAUGUGAAGGCAACCUCUCUGAACCUCUUGAAUGACGACCCUGAAAUGCUAGGGUAUCUCGAGCAAAUUGGCGAUGUAGCUCAGGAGGGUAAUGUUCUCAUCUCACCAAUGGAAAUUCAGGCAUACAAGUUAGACCUACAGCCACCAUCAUCACCAGAAGAAUAG
rnacentral:rRNA from 1 species